AUAGCAUGAAGUCAAACAAGAGAACCCGCUGAAUUUAAGCAUAUAAGUAGGCGGAGGAAAAGGAACUAAACAGGAUUCCCUUAGUAAUGGCGAACGAACAGGGAUAAGCUCAGGUUGGAAACCAGGGCCCUGGUCCUGGGUUGUAGCCUGCAGACGUAGCGCUAUCGGCGGCUUGAGCGAAAGCCUCUUGGAACAGAGCGUGUGCCCAGGUGAGAAUCCUGUGUUUCGCUUGAAGUCCGCCGUGUACGGUGCUUGCUCUCAAAGUCACGCUCCUCGGAAUUGGAGCGUAAAUCAGGUGGUAGAUUUCAUCUAAAGCCAAAUACAGACCUGAGACCGUGAGGGAAAGAUGAAAAGGACUUUGGAAAGAGAGUUAAAAGUGCUUGAAAUCGCUGAAAGGGAAGCGAAUGGAACCACAUGCUUGCUGAGAUUGCCGCCAAUGCUUGUGAGCCCUGGUCAUUAAAGCGCAAGCUUCUUGUCUAGGAGUGAGUUGGCAUUUGUAGUGCUUCUUAGCUUGCG
rnacentral:rRNA from 1 species